rnacentral:misc_RNA from 1 species
AACGCACAUUGCGCCCGCUAGUAUUCUGGCGGGCAUGCCUGUUCGAGCGUCAUUUCAACCCCUCGGGAACCCCUUUCGGGGCCCCGGCGUCGGGGGAACCGCCUGCGAGGGCGGCCCCCUAGAAUCAUUGGCGGACCCCCCGCGGAAUCCGAGCGCAGUAACCACAAAUUUCUCGCUAAGGACAAACGCUGAGGAGCCCUGCCGUAAAACCCCCAACUUCUCCAAAGGUUGACCUCGGAUCAGGUAGGAAUACCCGCUGAACUUAA